AUUGAACGCUGGCGGCAUGCCUUACACAUGCAAGUCGAACGGUAACGGGCCUUCGGGUGCCGACGAGUGGCGAACGGGUGAGUAAUGUAUCGGAACGUACCUUUCAGUGGGGGAUAACGUAGCGAAAGUUACGCUAAUACCGCAUAUUCUGUGAGCAGGAAAGCAGGGGAUCGCAAGACCUUGCGCUGAUUGCGCGGCCGAUAUCAGAUUAGCUAGUUGGUGAGGUAAAAGCUCACCAAGGCGACGAUCUGUAGCGGGUCUGAGAGGAUGAUCCGCCACACUGGAACUGAGACACGGUCCAGACUCCUACGGGAGGCAGCAGUGGGGAAUGUUGGACAAUGGGGGCAACCCUGAUCCAGCCAUGCCGCGUGAGUGAAGAAGGCCUUCGGGUUGUAAAGCUCUUUCGGCCGGGAAGAAAUUGUAUCAGCUAAUACCUUGUGUGGAUGACGGUACCGGAAUAAGAAGCACCGGCUAACUACGUGCCAGCCGCCGCAGUAACAC
rnacentral:rRNA from 1 species